rnacentral:rRNA from 1 species
CACGUAGGGGGCGAGCGUUGUCCGGAUUUAUUGGGCGUAAAGAGCUCGUAGGUGGCUCGGUAAGUCGGGUGUGAAAUUUCGAGGCUCAACCUCGAAACGCCACCUGAUACUGCUGUGGCUUGAGUCCGGUAGGGGAGCGUGGAAUUCCUGGUGUAGCGGUGAAAUGACGCAGAUAUCAGGAGGAACACCGGUGGCGAAGGCGGGUCUCUGGGCCGGUACUGACGCUGAGGAGCGAAAGCGUGGGGAGCGAACAGG